AGAGUUUGAUCCUGGCUCAGAAUGAACGUUGGCGGCGUGGAUUAGGCAUGCGAGUCGCGCGAUAAUGUAGCAAUACAGGACAGCGGCGAAAGGGAGAGGACAACAUAGGAAUCUGCCCUGGGGUCGGGGAUAGCGUCGGGAAACUGACGGUAAUACCCGAUAAUAUCCAAGGAUCAAAGGAGCAAUUUGCCCCGGGAUGAGCCUAUGCCCCAUUAGCUAGUUGGCGGUGUAAUGGACCACCAAGGCUGUGAUGGGUAGCUGGUGUGAGAGCACGACCAGCCUCACUGGCACUGAGACACUGGCCAGACACCUACGGGUGGCUGCAGUCGAGAAUCUUCGGCAAUGGACGAAAGUCUGACCGAGCGACGCCGCGUGUGGGAUGAAGGUCUUCGGAUUGUAAACCACUGUCGGGGGGGAUUAAGGGAAACUUGAAAGAACCCUGGAGGAAGGGGAGGCUAAGCUCGUGCCAGCAGCCGCGGUAAGACGAGCUCCCCANACGUUAUUCGGUAUUACUGGGCUUAAAGAGUUCGUAGGCGGCGAAGUAGGUGAGGUGUGAAAGCCCUCGG
rnacentral:rRNA from 1 species